GAACGGUAACAGGUCUUCGGACGCUGACUAGUGGCGAACGGGUGAGUGAGACAUCCGAGCGUGCCCCCUCGUGGGGGAUAACUACUCAAAAGAGUAGCUAAUACCGCAUACCAUCUGAGGAUGAAAGCGGGGGACCUUCGGGCCUCGCGCGAUUGGAGCGGCCGAUGGCAGAUUAGGUAGUUGGUGGGAUAAAAGCUUACCAAGCCGACGAUCUGUAGCUGGUCUGAGAGGACGACCAGCCACACUGGGACUGAGACACGGCCCAGACUCCUACGGGAGGCAGCAGUGGGGAAUUUUGGACAAUGGGCGAAAGCCUGAUCCAGCAAUGCCGCGUGCAGGAUGAAGGCCUUCGGGUUGUAAACUGCUUUUGUACGGAACGAAAAAGCUCCUUCUAAUACAGGGGGCCCAUGACGGUACCGUAAGAAUAAGCACCGGCUAACUACGUGCCAGCAGCCGCGGUAAUACGUACGGUGCGAGCGUUAAUCGGAAUUACUGGGCGUAAAGCGUGCGCAGGCGGUUAUGUAAGACAGAUGUGAAAUCCCCGGGCUCAACCUGGGAAUCGCAUUUGUGACUGCAUGGCUAGAGUACGGUAGAGGGGGAUGGAAUUCCGCGUGUAGCAGUGAAAUGCGUAGAUAUGCGGAGGAACACCGAUGAGGAAGGCAAUCCCCUGGACCUGUACUGACGCUCAUGCAAGAAAGGGUGGGGAGCAAACAGGAUUAGAUCCCGUGGUACUCCCCGCCAUAAACGAUGUCAAAUGGUUGUUGGGAUUUAGUUUUCUCAGUAACUAAGUUAACCCGUGAAGUCUCCCCCCU
rnacentral:rRNA from 1 species